rnacentral:misc_RNA from 1 species
ACCAAACCAAGUUAACAGAUUUCCAAUAUCCGUACCAGCAAGUUGAGCUGGACCACAAUAUGUUUGAUUCUGCCAUGGCAAACAUUCUACAGUCACCAAAUCUAUCCAUACACAAAAUUAAGCGCUGAUAAUGAAAACAUAGUCCAUUUUUAUACCAACCUCAAGAUGACUCUGCAGCAGGUUGGGACACUCCAGCCUUCACCAGCAGCUUAUCGAGCGCAUCCGCUGCGCAAACCUGAUACUUCACUUCACCCGAAGGCAGCAACAGCACCUCAGCAAGCUCCAGCUUUUCCGCAGUCAGGCUCGUGCUGUCCAUCGUCUUCCUCAGCACCUUGAGAGCAAGCUCAACCGCUUCCUCCCUCGUCACCUCGUCCUUGUAAUCCUGUUUCAGCAUCGACUGUGCAGCCUGGUUAUUUGCGCCAAUAGCCACCGCCUUCCACCCGCUGUAGUUCCCACUCGGAUCGCUCAUGUAAAGCUGGAAGCCAAAGUUCUUGUCCCACCCUGCAAACAAAAAGGAGACACCGAAAGGUCGAAGCCCGCCAAAUUGGGUGUACCCUUGCUUUGUGUCGCAGAGGGACUGGACGAGUUGCUCUACUGGCAUCGGCUCCUGAUAGGCAACAGUGUAGCGUUGGGCAUGAACACGAGCAGUGUUGAUGAGGAUGUUGGCAUCAGACAUGAUGCCGGCGACUGCGCAGGCAAGGUGGUCGUCGAUCUUGUACAUUUUCUCGGUGGACUUGG